CCUACGGGCGGCAGCAGUGGGGAAUAUUGCACAAUGGGGGAAACCCUGAUGCAGCGACGCCGCGUGAGUGAAGAAGUAAUUCGUUAUGUAAAGCUCUAUCAGCAGGGAAGAAAAUGACGGUACCUGAGUAAGAAGCCGCGGCUAACUACGUGCCAGCAGCCGCGGUAAUACGUAGGGGGCAAGCGUUAUCCGGAUUUACUGGGUGUAAAGGGAGCGUAGACGGCGGUGCAAGUCUGGAGUGAAAGGCGGGGGCUCAACCCCCGGACUGCUCUGGAAACUGUACGGCUUGAGUGCAGGAGAGGUAAGUGGAAUUCCUAGUGUAGCGGUGAAAUGCGUAGAUAUUAGGAGGAACACCAGUGGCGAAGGCGGGUUACUGGACUGUAACUGACGUUGAGGCUCGAAAGCGUGGGGAGCAAACAGGAUUAGAUACCCUUGUAGUC
rnacentral:rRNA from 1 species